CACGCAGGUGGUCGUGCAAGUGAGGUGUGAAAGCUCUCGGCUUAACUGAGAGAGGCCAUCUCAGACUGCACAACUGGAGGGCGGCAGAGGUCGGUGGAAUUGCCGGUGUAGUGGUGAAAUGCGUAGAGAUCGGCAGGAACACCCAGGGGGAAACCAGCCGACUGGGCCGCACCUGACACUCAAGUGCGAAAGCGUGGGGAGUGAACU
rnacentral:rRNA from 1 species